AGGCCUAAUACAUGCAAGUCGAGGGGUAACAGGAAGUGCCUGCACUUCGCUGACGACCGGCGCACGGGUGAGUAUCGCGUAUACAAUCUGCCUCAUACUAGGGAAUAGCCCGAAGAAAUUUGGAUUAAUGCCCUAUAGUAUCUUUUUAAGGCAUCUUAUUAAGAUUAAAGGUUACGGUAUGAGAUGAGUAUGCGUUCUAUUAGCUAGUAGGUGUGGUAACGGCACACCUAGGCUACGAUAGAUAGGGGCCCUGAGAGGGGGAUCCCCCACACUGGUACUGAGACACGGACCAGACUCCUACGGGAGGCAGCAGUAAGGAAUAUUGGUCAAUGGACGAAAGUCUGAACCAGCCAUGCCGCGUGCAGGAUGACUGCCCUAUGGGUUGUAAACUGCUUUUAUAUAGGAAGAAAAACUUUCUCGUGAGAAAGCUUGACGGUACUAUAAGAAUAAGGAUCGGCUAACUCCGUGCCAGCAGCCGCGGUAAUACGGAGGAUCCAAGCGUUAUCCGGAAUCAUUGGGUUUAAAGGGUCCGUAGGUGGACAAAUAAGUCAGAGGUGAAAUCCUGCAGCUCAACUGUAGAACUGCCUUUGAUACUGUUUGUCUUGAGUUAUUAUGAAGUGGUUAGAAUGUGUAGUGUAGCGGUGAAAUGCAUAGAUAUUACACAGAAUACCGAUUUGC
rnacentral:rRNA from 1 species